GACGAACGCUGGCGGCGUGCCUAAUACAUGCAAGUAGAACGCUGAAGAGAGGAGCUUGCUCUUCUUGGAUGAGUUGCGAACGGGUGAGUAACGCGUAGGUAACCUGCCUUGUAGCGGGGGAUAACUAUUGGAAACGAUAGCUAAUACCGCAUAACAAUAGGUGACACAUGUCAUUUAUUUGAAAGGGGCAAUUGCUCCACUACAAGAUGGACCUGCGUUGUAUUAGCUAGUAGGUGAGGUAACGGCUCACCUAGGCGACGAUACAUAGCCGACCUGAGAGGGUGAUCGGCCACACUGGGACUGAGACACGGCCCAGACUCCUACGGGAGGCAGCAGUAGGGAAUCUUCGGCAAUGGGGGCAACCCUGACCGAGCAACGCCGCGUGAGUGAAGAAGGUUUUCGGAUCGUAAAGCUCUGUUGUAAGUCAAGAACGAGUGUGAGAGUGGAAAGUUCACACUGUGACGGUAGCUUACCAGAAAGGGACGGCUAACUACGUGC
rnacentral:rRNA from 1 species